UAUAUAAAUAUUUGAACCAAGCUCAAAAAAUUUCCCAAGCAUUAAUAUUACAUGAUGUAGUUACAAUUUCUUUCACAUGUCGACUUACGUUAUGGUCUUUAUAUUAAUUAUCAAUAUCCUGAGCCAUUAAUCCAAAUAGGUGGGAACAGCAGAGGUGAAGUUCUAUUUAUGUAAAGGAAGUUAUCCGUUGUUAUCACUAUGCGAAAAGUCAUAUCCAAGUAGUCUUUCAAUUCUAGAGAAUUCAGUGCUAUCGAAACUGCAUUCAACAAUGCAAAACUGAAGUCUGUAUAACGAUCGUAGAUGAAGGAGAAAGGAAAAUAACGUAAACAACAAGAAAAAGUGUGUCCAACAUCUCUAUGUUUAUGUUUACAUCUGCAUUUACGUCCAAUAUUGGAUUGUUCAUUAUCGUAUUUGAGUUUGGUUAAAUAGUGUUUCGUUCGUUUUAAGACUUGAAUAUCAAAAAUUUCGUUGCCGACCUACCUAGAAAUUUGUAUAAUUUGUGGCAAAUAUGUUGAAAAAGAAAAUAAUCUUUCCUUGCAUGGCUCGUGCACAUCAUAUCCACUUGGGCAAUUAGUGGAACAAACAGUUAGAGCCAAUCUUCGGGGAAUUCAAGGACGUGUUUCUUCCGAUAGUUCCAUAGAGACAUUGUCUGCAAUUUCUACAUAUGAAACUUUAACUGCUUCACAGUCUUCCAGUGAAACUGGAUCUGAAUCUCCUGAAGAAUCUUCAACUGCAGUAACUUUCAGUGUUUCUUAAAUGAUUCUUGAUAGAACUUGUCCAAGAACAUCGAGAAAAAGGAGACUCAAGAGAAAAUCAUAUAUGGAGAUUUUAGUGAUUCUGACUUCUCCUAUCCUAAGAAAGCAAAAAGAUCUUUUGCAGUAGCCAAAACAGUUAUUCAGCAGAAGAACAGAAAACUGAAAACGUUACAGCAAGCUUACAAAAGAUUGAAGUACACUUGAACAAUUCAAAGUCAUUGCUGAAGCAUUUGCGGGAAGAGAACAUUCUGUCUGAAUCUGCAGAAGAGGUCAUAGAGGUAAGUUAAUACAGGGUGUCCGCUCCAUGGGACAGCAGUCGAUUACGAUUACUCUAAUUCCAUUAACUUUACAAAAAAGAAUUUCGAUUAAAACUUUCCUCUUUUGGAGUAAAGCAUCUCCUUAAAUUAUUUAGAACUACAUAAAAUGUUUCGUUUCUUUUGCACAGCUAUCAACUUCGUUUUUUUAAAUGGAACAGCCUACAUAUUUUUACUACCUUGUUAAAUUUGAAUAGGGUUUGAUGUCACAACUAUAUUGAAUUCUGAACGGUUUUCGAGAAAUUUGACUUUUCAUUAAUAUUUUUACAGUCCGACGUACUUCCAUAAAGGA